GCACCUGUGGCUCAAAGGAGGGCGCCAGCCCCAUAUGCUGGAGGUGGCGGGUUCAAACCCAGCCACGGCCA
rnacentral:tRNA from 1 species